GCGAGGUUGGUCUAGACUGGCCUAGGACAGGGGCUUCCCAAGCCUCUAACACGGGUUCGAAUCCCGUACCUCGCACCA
rnacentral:tRNA from 1 species